rnacentral:tRNA from 1 species
GUAGCUCAGUGGUAGAGUGCUUGCCUUGCAUGCAUGAGGCCCCUGGGUUCAAUUCCUCAGC